AGGCCUCUCGAUGGUUCGCGGACGCGGGGAGGCCCGCUGAGCCGGGAGGCCCGCGGCCAGGCCGCCACCUGCCGGCCACGUCCGGAGGGGACGCCGCGGAGGCGGAGGAAGCUGGAGGACCAGGGACGGGCCCACGCGUCACCCAGACCUCCGCAGCAAACAUGGGCACCGUGGGCUCAGUGCAAAAAAAGAGGUUUAUUUUGUGGUGCCUUUGAGGAUGGAGAAAGGAACUCUGCAAGUCAGCAUGGCCUCACUAGUCCCUAGCCCAAGCCUAACAUUUUCAAAUAAAACUUUUAGUUAAUUAAAUAAUUGAGCAGGGUAUCAUUGUGCAACUCUGGCUGGCCUGGAAUUUGCUAUAUGAACCAGGCUGGCUUGGAACUCACAAAGAUCCUUCUGCUUCUGCUUCCCCAGUGCUGGGAUUAAAUGUGUGCACUACCAUGCCUGGCUCUCAAACAAACAUUUUGUUUGAUAUAAAAAGCUCUCCUUGGCCAAUUAAAAAAUGUGCUACAGAGCUAAAGCAAGAGUUCACAACAGGGGCUGGAGAGAUGGCUCAGUGGUUAAGAGCACUGUCUGCUCUUCCAAUGGUCAUGAGUUCAAUUCCCAGCAACCACAUGGUGGCUCACAACCAUCUAUAAUGUGAACUGAUUCCUUCUUCUGGCAGAUGUAAAUGCAGAUAGAACACUCAUAUACAUUGCUGAUGGGGGUGCAAACUUGUACAACCUCUCUGGAAAUCAAUCUGGCACUUUCUCAGAAAACUGGAAAUAGUUCUACCUCAAGAUCCAACUAUACCACCCCUGGGCAUGUACCCAAAAGAUGCUGUACCAUAUAAUGAGGACAUUUGCUCAACUACAUUCACAGCAGCUAUUAUUCUUAAUAGCCAGAAACUGGAAACUACCUAGAUGUCCCUCAACCGAAGAAUGGAUAAAGAACUUGUGGUACAUUUACACAAUGGAACACUACUCAGCUAUUAAAAACAAGGAUAUGAAAUUUGCAGACAAAUGGGUGGAGCUAAAAAAGAUCAUCAUGAGUGAGGUAAUCCAGAUCCAGAAAGACACACAUGAGACCGAGACAUCAACUAAGAAGCAGGCAUGAACUGGACCGAGGAACCCUGCACAUAUGUGGUGGACGGGCAGCUUGGUCUUCAUGGGACGUGCCUGGCAACUCCUAACAGAAGGACUACAAGUCUCAACGUUAGCCAGACUACCCUUGCACCAUCAUCACCUGUCUGGGACACACAACAGGGGCCUUGAGACAGCUGUGCAAAGACCGUAGCUGAUUUCCCAAGCAUCUUAAGACACAGCCCCACUUACGUGCUUGACA